UUGUAGUCUGCAACCCGACUACAUGAAGCCGGAAUCGCUAGUAAUCGCGGAUCAGAAUGCCGCGGUGAAUACGUUCCCGGGUCUUGUACACACCGCCCGUCACACCAUGGGAGUCGGAAAUGCCCGAAGCCGGUGACCCAACCCGAAAGGGAGGGAGCCGUCGAAGGCAGGUCGGAUGACUGGGGUGAAGUCGUAACAAGGUACC
rnacentral:rRNA from 1 species